rnacentral:misc_RNA from 1 species
UAACAAGGUUUCUGUAGGUGAACCUGCAGAAGGAUCAUUAGUGAAGAUUUGGGCAGGCCAUACGGACGCCAAAAAGUGUCCCUGGCCGCCUACACCCACUAUACAUCCACAAACCCGUGUGCACUGUCUUGGAGAAAGGCUUCAGAGAAGUUUUUUGUGGCCUCUCUUGGGGUCUUUCUUCGCUACAAACUCGAAUGGUUAGUAUGAACGUGGAACUUGGUUGGACCGUCACUGGCCAACAAACUAUACACAACUUUCGACAACGGAUCUCUUGGUUCUCCCAUCGAUGAAGAACGCAGCGAA